rnacentral:rRNA from 1 species
AUUAGUCUCGUUGGUGACAGCGGAGGGAUCAUUACAGAGUUAUACAACUCCCAUACCAUUUGUUAACUUUACUCAGUUAUGCCUCGGCGUAAGCUGGGCGGAGCGGACGUGCUACCCUGGAGCUACCCUGUAGCUACCCGGUAGCCGCGGCCGACCUCCAGCCCGCCGGCGGUACGCUAAACUCUUGUUUUACUGUAUCUUCUGAGCGUCUUAUUUUAAUAAGUCAAAACUUUCAACAACGGAUCUCUUGGUUCUGGCAUCGAUGAAGAACGCAGCGAAAUGCGAUAAGUAAUGUGAAUUGCAGAAUUCAGUGAAUCAUCGAAUCUUUGAACGCACAUUGCGCCCAUUAGUAUUCUAGUGGGCAUGCCUGUUCGAGCGUCAUUUCAACCCUUAAGCCUAGCUUAGUGUUGGGAAUCUACUGUACUGUAGUUCCUCAAAGACAGUGGCGGAGCGAUAGUUGUCCUCUGAGCGUAGUAAUACUUAUUCUCGCUUUUGUUAGGUGCUGUCCUCCCGCCAUAAAACCCCCAAUUUUUAGUGGUUGACCUCGGAUCAGGUAGGAAUACCCGCUGAACUUAAGCAUAUCAAUAAGCGGAGGAA